rnacentral:tRNA from 1 species
GCCUCCAUACCUUAGUGGCUAAAGGGUUGGUCUAGUAAACCAGAGGCCAGGAGUUCGAUCCUCCUUGGGGAAG